GAGUUUGAUCCUGGCUCAGAACGAACGCUGGUGGCGUGUCUUAUACAUGCAAGUCGAGCGGUGCAGCAAUGCAUAGCGGCGAACGGGUGAGUAACACGUAAGCAAUCUGCCCCCUACUUGGGAAUAGCCGUGCCAACGCGCGGAUAAUACCGAAUAUCGUGGCGUCCCGCAUGGGACGUUGACGAAAGAUUUAUCGGUAGGGGAUGAGCUUGCGUCCGAUUAGCUAGUUGGCGGGGCAACGGCCCACCAAGGCGACGAUCGGUAGCCGGCCUGAGAGGUUGAUCGGCCGCAUUGGGACUGAGACACGGCCCAGACUCCUACGGGAGGCAGCAGUGGGGGAUAUUGCACAAUGGGGGAAACCCUGAUGCAGCAAUGCCGCGUGAGGGAAGACGGUCUUCGGAUUGUAAACCUAAGUAGUCAGGGAUGAAGAAAGUGACAUUACCUGAAGAGUAAGCUCCGGCUAACUACGUGCCAGCAGCCGCGGUAAUACGUAGGGAGCGAGCGUUGUCCGGAUUUACUGGGUGUAAAGGGUGCGUAGGCGGGCUUGCAAGUCAGGCGUGAAAUACCGGGGCUUAACUCCGGGGCUGCGCUUGAAACUGUAAGUCUUGAGUGAAGUAGGGGCAGGCGGAAUUCCCAGUGUAGCGGUGAAAUGCGUAGAUAUUGGGAGGAACACCAGUGGCGAAGGCGGCCUGCUGGGCUUUAACUGACGCUGAGGCACGAAAGUAUGGGGAGCAAACAGGAUUAGAUACCCUGGUAGUCCGCACAGUAAACGAUGAUGACUAACCGUCGGCGAUAGACAGCCGGUGGCCAAGCGAAAGCGAUAAGUCAUCCACCUGGGGAGUACGUUCGCAAGAAUGAAACUCAAAGGAAUUGACGGGGGCCCGCACAAGCGGAGGAACAUGUGGUUUAAUUCGAUGAUACGCGAGGAACCUUACCCGGGCUCGAACGGCAAGUGAAGAGAUCCAGAGAUGGUGACGCCCUUCGGGGCACUUGUCGAGGUGCUGCAUGGUUGUCGUCAGCUCGUGUCGUGAGAUGUUGGCUCAAGUGCCAUAACGAGCGCAACCCUUGCUGCCAGUUACCAGCACGUAGAGGUGGGGACUCUGGCAGGACUGCCACCGCAAGGUGAGAGGAAGGCGGGGAUGACGUCAAAUCAGCACGGCCCUUACGUCCGGGGCGACACACGUGUUACAAUGGUGACUACAGAGGGAUGCCACCCAGCGAUGGGGCGCGGAUCUCGAAAAGUCAUCUCAGUUCGGAUUGGAGUCUGCAACUCGACUCCAUGAAGCUGGAUUCGCUAGUAAUCGCGCAUCAGCCAUGGCGCGGUGAAUACGUUCCCGGGCCUUGCACACACCGCCGGUCAA
rnacentral:rRNA from 1 species